GCCUGGCUAGCUCAGUCAGAAGAGCAUAAGACUCUCAAUCUUGGGUUGUGGGUUCGAGUCCCACGUUGAGUG